AUUGAACGCUGGCGGCAGGCCUAACACAUGCAAGUCGAACGGUAACAGGAAGCAGCUUGCUGCUUCGCUGACGAGUGGCGGACGGGUGAGUAAUGUCUGGGAAACUGCCUGAUGGAGGGGGAUAACUACUGGAAACGGUAGCUAAUACCGCAUAACGUCGCAAGACCAAAGAGGGGGACCUUAGGGCCUCUUGCCAUCGGCUGUGCCCAGAUGGGAUUAGCUAGUAGGUGGGGUAACGGCUCACCUAGGCGACGAUCCCUAGCUGGUCUGAGAGGAUGACCAGCCACACUGGAACUGAGACACGGUCCAGACUCCUACGGGAGGCAGCAGUGGGGAAUAUUGCACAAUGGGCGCAAGCCUGAUGCAGCCAUGCCGCGUGUAUGAAGAAGGCCUUCGGGUUGUAAAGUACUUUCAGCGGGGAGGAAGGGAGGAAAGUUAAUACCUUUGCUCAUUGACGUUACCCGCAGAAGAAGCACCGGCUAACUCCGUG
rnacentral:rRNA from 1 species